AGAGUUUGAUCCUGGCUCAGAAUCAACGCUGGCGGCGCGCCUAACACAUGCAAGUCGAACGAGAUAGCGGGAGCAAUCUCGCAAGUAAAGUGGCGUACGGGUGAGUAACACGUGGAUCAUCUGCCCUGGAGUGGGGAAUAACGCUGGGAAACCGGCGCUAAUACCGCAUAUUCCCGAGAGGGGAAAGCAGCAAUGCGCUCGAGGAGGAGUCCGCGGCCGAUUAGCUAGUUGGCAGGGUAAAAGCCUACCAAGGCUGUGAUCGGUAGCCGGCCUGAGAGGGCACACGGCCACACUGGCACUGAAACACGGGCCAGACUCCUACGGGAGGCAGCAGUGGGGAAUCUUGCACAAUGGGGGAAACCCUGAUGCAGCGACGCCGCGUGAGCGAUGAAGCCCUUCGGGGUGUAAAGCUCUUUCGGCAGGGAAGAUUAUGACGGUACCUGCAGAAGCAGCUGCGGCUAACUACGUGCCAGCAGCCGCGGUAAUACGUAGGCAGCAAGCGUUGUUCGGAGUUACUGGGCGUAAAGGGUGUGUAGGCGGCCCGCUAAGUUCCGUGUGAAAUCUCCCGGCUCAACCGGGAGGGUGCGCGGAAUACUGACGGGCUAGAGUGCGGGAUGGGAGAGUAGAAUUCCUGGUGUAGCGGUGAAAUGCGUAGAUAUCAGGAGGAAUACCGGUGGUGUAGACGGCUCUCUGGACCGCAACUGACGCUGAGACACGAAAGCGUGGGUAGCAAACAGGAUUAGAUACCCUGGUAGUCCACGCCCUAAACGAUGCAUAUUUGGUGU
rnacentral:rRNA from 1 species